rnacentral:rRNA from 1 species
UACGUAGGGUCCGAGCGUUGUCCGGAAUUACUGGGCGUAAAGAGCUCGUAGGUGGUUUGUCGCGUUGUUCGUGAAAACUCACAGCUCAACUGUGGGCGUGCGGGCGAUACGGGCAGACUGGAGUACUGCAGGGGAGACUGGAAUUCCUGGUGUAGCGGUGGAAUGCGCAGAUAUCAGGAGGAACACCGGUGGCGAAGGCGGGACUCUGGGCCGAUACUGACGCUGAGGAGCGAAAGCGUGGGGAGCAAACAGG